UAAAAGAUCGGAAAAAAGAUAAAUCUCCUUGGCUUCAUCGAAGCCAUCGUCGAUUUCCUAUUUUUCAGUCGCUUUUG
rnacentral:ncRNA from 1 species